AAAAUCUCUUGGGCUCUCUCUAGCCUAAAGGAAAGAGGCUUAUUGGUGGACUGUCAGAAAAAUGGAGAAUUUCUUUUCCAGUGUCUCUUUUCUAGUCAUUUGCAAUAAAGGGAGAUACUUUGGGACCUCUUGUUUCAGGACCUCUUGGUUGAAAAAACUUCACAGGUUGCAGCUUUUUGAAGGUUGAAGGGACAUAGGCUUGUUAAUCUUUGGGUUUUUUCUUCCUGUAGAGCCCUUUCAAAAUGUUCAGCUACAGCCACCAA
rnacentral:lncRNA from 1 species